GGGUAUCCUUACUUUGGGGAUCCAAGUAGGUAGUUUUGGGUGGUCAUCAAGCAAUUGGUGGCUAUCUGGGGCUAUCCACUCCUCAUCUUUUACUUUGAGAAAAUUAGAGUGUUCAAAGCAGGCGUAACCCAGCCUUGAAUACUGUAGCAUGGAAUGAUACAACAAGACGAGAGUCUUAUUUGUUGGUUUCUAAGGCUUCCGUAAUGAUUAAAAGGGACAGUUGGGGGCAUUUGUAUUCAAUCGUCAGAGGUGAAAUUCUAGGAUUGCUUGAAGACAAACUACUGCGAAAGCAUUUGCCAAGGAUGUUUUCAUUAAUCAAGAACGAAAGUAGGGGGAUCGAAGAUGAUCAGAUACCGUCGUAGUCUCUACCAUAAACUAUGCCGACCAAGGAUUCGGAGAAGUUACGUGGAUGACUCCCCGAGCACUUUGUGAGAAAUCAUCAAGUCGUUGGGUUCUGGGGGGAGUAUGGUCGCAAGGCUGAAACUUAAAGGAAUUGACGGAAGGACACCACCAGGCGUGGAACCUGCGGCUUAAUUUGACUCAACACGGGAAAACUUACCAGGUCCAGACACUAGAAGGAUUGACAGAUUAAGAGCUCUUUCUUGAUUUAGUGGUUGGUGGUGCAUGGCCGUUCUUAGUUGGUGGAGCGAUCUGUCUGGUUAAUUCCGUUAACGAACGAGACCUUAACCUGCUAACUAGUCCCGGUUGUCCUUACGGACAUGCCGGCUUUGACUUCUUAGAGGGACUAUUCG
rnacentral:rRNA from 1 species